rnacentral:rRNA from 1 species
UACGAAGGGGGGCUAGCGUUGCUCGGAAUCACUGGGCGUAAAGGGUGCGUAGGCGGGUCUUUUAAGUCAGGGGGUGAAAUCCUGGAGCUCAACUCCAGAACUGCCUUUGAUACUGAAGAUCUUGAGUUCGGGGAGAGGUGAGUGGAACUGCGAGUGUAGAGGUGAAAUUCGUAGAUAUUCGCAAGAACACCAGUGGCGAAGGCGGCUCACUGGCCCGAUACUGACGCUGAGGCACGAAAGCGUGGGGAGCAAACAGG